rnacentral:rRNA from 1 species
AUACGAAGGGUGCAAGCGUUACUCGGAAUUACUGGGCGUAAAGCGUGCGUAGGUGGUUGUUUAAGUCUGUCGUGAAAGCCCUGGGCUCAACCUGGGAAUGGCGAUGGGAACUGGGCGACUAGAGUGUGGCAGAGGGUAGUGGAAUUCCUGGUGUAGCAGUGAAAUGCGUAGAGAUCAGGAGGAACAUCCGUGGCGAAGGCGACUGCCUGGGCCAACACUGACACUGAGGCACGAAAGCGUGGGGAGCAAACAGGAUUAGAUACCCUGGUAGUCCACGCCCUAAACGAUGCGAACUGGAUGUUGGGUGCAAUUUGGCACGCAGUAUCGAAGCUAACGCGUUAAGUUCGCCGCCUGGGGAGUACGGUCGCAAGACUGAAACUCAAAUGAAUUGACGGGG